AUGAAGCCAUUAGGCGCAUCGUUACCUUUUGUUCUCCACCUUGCUUCCUUCCUCGCGCUCUUGCUCCACCAGCCUCAUCUGCUUGCAGCGCAGAGGCUCACAACCGGAUCGACACUCAGCCCCCCUGGCUACAUCACCUCCCCGUCAGGGGAAUUUGCCUUCGGCUUCCGGGCCCUCGACUCUGACCCCAGCAAGUUCCUCCUUGCUGUCUGGUUCAACUUCAACUUCACCCAGGCGCCCGACCCUGCACAGGAGAAGGUGGUGUGGUAUGCCAAGAACCUGGGUUCAGGCUCGGCCGUGAUGGCCACGGAGUUGUCCGUGUUCAGCAUCGGUCCACAGCUCUCCCUCACUGACAACACCGGUAGCAUAAUAUGGACAAACCCAGACCCUAGCCUACAAGCCGGCUCAAUUCUCGCGCUGCAAGACUCGGGCAACCUCCAGUUACUCGCUACCGGGGGAAUGCCCAUCACCUGGGAGAGCUUCCAGCACCCAACUGACACACUCCUCCCGGGUCAAUCGCUGGGCUCUGGAAAGGCUCUUCUGUCCAGGCGCUCCGACAUGGUCUUCUUCCCCGGCCGCUACAGCCUGCAGGUGCAAGGCGAUGGUAACAUCGUCUUGUACCUCACGAACCUUGCCACCGGCAACCUGGAUUCGCACAACGCAUAUUGGAGCACUAACACCUACCAGCCGGACAACCAGGCCGGCAACAUGACUAUUUUCUUUGACUCAUCGGGCCAUCUGUACUAUCAGAGCAAUGACAGCACUGUGGUUGACCUGAUACCCCCCCAUCCAAAGUCUAGGUUUGGUUACCACCAGCACGCAUCACUCGAUCCAGAUGGCAUCUUCCGCAUGUACACCCGACCGAAGAACGCCAUGGGAAGGAGAAACUUGUCGUGGGCAGUCACGGGACAGUUCCCAACCGAAGGUUGCAAGAUAAAAACCUCUAUGCAAGGUUUGUGUGGCCCCAACUCAUACUGUGUGUAUGGUCCUAACGACCGCCUCGAUUGUGAGUGCCCAAGCGGCUACUCCUAUGUCGAUUCUCAGCUCAGGUACAUGGGCUGCACACAGGGGUUCAUGUCGCAGAGUUGUGACGGGAAGAACCGCUCCGCCGAGUUUGGGGUUGUCAAGCUCCCGAACACCACUUGGGGAAACUCGCCAUAUGAAGGAUAUUCGCACACCACAGAGGAUCAGUGUGCAGACUCUUGCCUAAAUGACUGCCUCUGCGCCGCUGCUAUGUAUGAUGACAGUUAUUGUGCCAAGAUGGUGUCAUUGGCAGGAUAUGGACGGCAAGGAGGAGACGUCGUCAUGAAGGCAUUGAUAAAGGUACGGACGAGCAGUCCCUUGGAGCUGGCGCCACCGAGGAUAUUGCCUUAUGUAUUACUCGGUUGCUCGGGGUUCGUGUUGCUAUCCGCAAUAAGUAGUCUCAUGUUACAUUGGUACCUUAGGAAGAAGAACGCCAACCAUGACUUUGUGAGGGCUUACACUGCAAAAGAGCUUUACAGAGCCACCAAUGGCUUUUGUAAGUUGCUAGGCAGAGGUGGCUUUGGCGAGGUCUACCAUGGGGUGUUAAAGUCGCUACACUCUCCUGACAUAGCAGUGAAGAAGCUCAUCAGCUCCAAUGGUUACAGCGAGAGGGAGUUCGCGAAUGAGGUACAGUCCAUCGGCCAGAUCCACCACAGGAACCUAGUCCGCAUGGUUGGUUACUGCAAAGAGCAGGAGCAACGGAUGUUGGUGUUCGAGUUCAUGCCAGGUGGUUCCCUUCGGAGCUUCCUUUUCCAGCCUAAGCGACCAAUGUGGAGUUGGCGUGCCGAGGCAGCACUCGGUAUUGCCAAGGGCCUAGAGUACUUACACGAAGGAUGCAAUUAUCCAAUCAUUCAUUGUGACAUCAAGCCUGACAAUAUAUUGUUAGAUGACAAGAAAAAUCCAAAGAUUACUGAUUUUGGGAUUGCAAAGCUUCUUAGUGACCAGCAGAUGCACACCACGGUGACUAACAUCAGGGGCACAAGGGGCUAUAUUGCCCCCGAGUGGUUCCAAAGUGAUAGGCGCAUUGACACCAAGGUUGAUGUUUACAGCUUCGGCGUUGUGCUACUAGAGAUGAUAUGCUGCCGGAAGUGCCAGGAGCCAGUGACUGGGCUGGAUGGUGACGAUUCAGUCACACUGUUUUGGUGGGCUGGUCAGUUGGUCUGUCAUGGCAAGAUUGAGGUUUUGUUGCAUAAUGAAGACGACACCAUUGAGGAUUUGGUCAGAGUGGAGAGGUUCAUGCGUGUUGCACUCAGGUGCAUUGAGCAGAAUCCUUCGCUCCGUCCGACAAUGCACCAGGUGGUGCAGAUGCUGGAGGGCGUGGUUGAGGUCGACACUGUACCUGCUCCUACAAGCUCCGACUGUUCAUCGCCGUUGACCUCUUCGGUCGACGGGAGCACUCUGUUGCCAGGUGGUGCUAAUCUUGAGAUAGAGUGA
rnacentral:rRNA from 1 species